UACAGAGGUCUCAAGCGUUGUUUCGGAUUCAUUGGGCGUAAAGGGUGCGUAGGCGGCGCGGUAAGUCGGGUGUGAAAUCUCGGGGCUUAACUCCGAAACUGCAUUCGAUACUGCCGUGCUUGAGGACUGGAGAGGAGACUGGAAUUUACGGUGUAGCGGUGAAAUGCGUAGAUAUCGUAAGGAAGACCAGUGGCGAAGGCGGGGUCUCUGGACAGUUCCUGACGCUGAGGCACGAAGGUCAGGGGAGCAAACGGGG
rnacentral:rRNA from 1 species